AGGUCUUGACAUCCUCUGACCGCUCUAGAGAUAGAGUUUUCCUUCGGGACAGAGGUGACAGGUGGUGCAUGGUUGUCGUCAGCUCGUGUCGUGAGAUGUUGGGUUAAGUCCCGCAACGAGCGCAACCCCUAUUGUUAGUUGCCAUCAUUCAGUUGGGCACUCUAGCGAGACUGCCGGUAAUAAACCGGAGGAAGGUGGGGAUGACGUCAAAUCAUCAUGCCCCUUAUGACCUGGG
rnacentral:rRNA from 1 species